CUGAUAUCUGUCUCUACUGUAACACCCCAUAUCCUUAUAGUAAGUGACAUACGGGAUUGUCAUUAGAUUAAACAUGUUUCUGAUAACUGCAUUUCUUCCCUUCCUCUACAUGGGACUGGCUUACAGUGUCUUAUUGAGUCAGCCCAGCUCUGAAAAUAGGAUCUAUGGCGAACCUGUGCUCAUAUCAUGUGAAGCCUCUGGAUAUGAAUUUACUACAUACUGGAUGGCCUGGUUGAAACAUGUUCCAGGAAAAGCGCUUUUGUAUGUAGGACAUAUUGACCCAUCUGAUGGUUACACUAGAAUUACAGAUUCAUUUACUUCAAGAUUUGAAUUAAAAACAGAUAAUGCAAAAAACAUGGGAUACAUGAAAAUAAAGAAUGUCCUGUAUGAAGAUGCUGCAGUGUAUUAUUGUGCUCAAAGACCACAGUGUUCAAGUUAUUAG